rnacentral:lncRNA from 1 species
CCCUCACCAGCCGUGUACUUACUAGCUGUUAGGGCUGAGAGCUGGGACCUAGAGGGAAAUUCAGUCAUGUUUGUCCUGGGUUCCAUCGAGAUAGGUGGGGGGAUAGGCUUGAUUUCUAUUACAAAUGAUGUAACAUUACAUAUGUUAGUACUCCUAACACUUCUUGGGACUGUGCCUCAGGGAUCACAACCUGUAUAAGUUUAAAAGUUCUAAAAGACAGUCAUGACCUUGAUAUAUAGGUUCAGAUAGUGUCCAGAUAGAAUCCUGAUGCUAAAAACUUAAUAAAAAAAAGAGUUGAGAAUUACUUAGGGCUAGGGCUAUCUAGGUGCUGCAAGGGCAGCACAAGGACAUCUGCUGUUGCCCUACAAUACAAAGCUUAUAGAGAAUUCAGAACUGCCAUUGACUCAGAUAUAAAAAGAAUGAAAGACUUUUUAGCUGACCUCCAAGAAUACCUAACCUCCCUCUCAGAGGUAGUCCUUCAAAAUAAGAAAAGAUCAGACCUGAUAUUCCUUAAAGAAGGAAUCUGUGUGCUACACUG